rnacentral:rRNA from 1 species
UAGGGAAUCUUCGGCAAUGGACGAAAGUCUGAUCGAGCAACGCCGCGUGAGUGAAGAAGGUUUUCGGAUCGUAAAACUCUGUUGUUAGAGAAGAAAAAGGACGUUAGUAACUGAACGUCCCCUGACGGUAUCUAACCAGAAAGCCACGGCUAACUACGUGCCAGCAGCCGCGGUAAUACGUAGGUGGCAAGCGUUGUCCGGAUUUAUUGGGCGUAAAGCGAGCGCAGGCGGUUUCUUAAGUCUGAUGUGAAAGCCCCCGGCUCAACCGGGGAGGGUCAUUGGAAACUGGGAGACUUGAGUGCAGAAGAGGGGAGUAGAAUUCCAUGUGUAGCGGUGAAAUGCGUAGAUAUAUGGAGGAACACCGGUGGCGAAGGCGGCUCUCUGGUCUGUAACUGACGCUGAGGCUCGAAAGCGUGGGGAGCAAACAGG